UCUUAUAUAACUGGACAUUUAUUUUAUUUUGGCUACAGAAAAUACAUUUACAGCUACAGAAAAUACCACUCUGGCCAGCAAUGUGGAGCCUCCAUUGCCUUUUGUGAAAAAUGGGCUUUUUGCAGAUUAAAUGAGAUAGUUCAUAUUGUGGAAGGUAUGGCAUGUGGUAGAAGUUCCAUGAAGUUCUUGUCACCUUCUUUAUAUAGAAGCAUCAGUCAUUUAAAAACUCGAUAGACCCUCAAGAAGCCUUUUACUGAUCUUACGUUGAGACAGCAGCAGCUUACUUAAGGUGAGCAGGUGAGCCUUGAAGAAGAAUCCUCAACCUCUCUUGGUAACUUGACAUAAACUCUCAAGGCUUCCUUUUCUUCUAAGUCAUCUUCAACUUUAUUUCUCUGCUGUGUCCACGUGUAAUAUGCACUCAAGUUCUGUUGAUUUUGCUCUCCAGGUAUGUUUUUUUAUCUGCCCUGUUUUUGUAUUCCUGUUUCAAAUGGACUAGCUCAUAAACUGGUCAUCUCUAACAUGAAUUAUUGCAAUAAUCCCUUCAUGAGCCUAGACUGUGAUGAUUAAAUGAGGUGAGGCAUUUCUGAAUGUUAGCACAGGCCUUGACACAUAAUUAGCGUUCAUUAUGAAUUAGUCAAUAAUAGUGAUAUAAAAAUAAUAACAGUAAUGAAAAAAUUCAAAAUGCAAUAUCUUAUUAUAACAAAGGAUUACUAAGUGAAUAAUAUAUCUAAGGCAGAGAAUAGUUACUAUGGGAAACACUGAACCUUUGCUUUUCAGAAACAUACACUGUAUUUGGGGAGAGAAAUAAGAAUGCCAAGAGAAAUUCCAAACAAUUAAACAAAUUACUUUAAACUAAGCAGAUUUUUGCUCUAGUUCUGACAUCAAGUCACAUUUUAAGAAACUUUAGUAUGACAACCCAAAAUGAUUGUAAGUUAAUUUACAUCAAGUUUGUUAUCUCCUUAUAAAUAUCAAAGUGAGUUCUCAUUAAAACUACUCAGAAAAACAUAUUAAAUAUGUCUUUCUAAAUCCCUCUUACACUUGUCUCUACAUUCACUGUAGCAUAUCCUUAAUAUGUCUCUCAUUUCCUUUAUUUCACACUAUUUUAAAAAAUAGUUCGUUUUAACUCAACAGAAGACAAGCAGGUUCUUAUGUUUUUUUUCCCUACCUCUUCUAUCUCAGGCUCAGCAAUUCACAUCCUUGUGGCUUUUUAAAUUUUUCUCUAGCUCCAGAUUCUGCCCUGUCCAGAGUCUUCUUAGCCUCUCUGUGUAGCAUUCCUUCUUCCAGGAGAUGGGGCAGGACCUUAUAUGUUUAGUUUCUAAGCCUUGCAUGCAUUAUAAAGGAUUAACUGUCCAUCAUAGUAUCAGGUGUUCUCACUGGCUGGCUUUGAGGAAGUAGGCGGCCAUGCUAGGGAGGCUUUGUCACAAGCAGAUGAGGUUGGCUUCUGGCCAAAAGUCUAA
rnacentral:lncRNA from 1 species